rnacentral:rRNA from 1 species
GAUGAACGCUGGCGGCGUGCCUAAUACAUGCAAGUCGAGCGAACAGACGAGGAUCUUGCUCCUCUGACGUUAGCGGCGGACGGGUGAGUCACACGUGUAUAACCUACCUAUAAGACUGGUAUAACUUCGGGAAACCGGCGCUAAUACCGGAUAAUAUAUUGACCCGCAUGGUUCAAUAGUGAAAUACGGUUUUGCUGUCACUUAUAGAUGGAUCCCCGCCGCAUUAUCUAGUUGUUAAGGUAACGGCUUACCAAGGCAAGGAUGCGUAGACGACCGGAGAGACGGGUAGCCCACCUGAGAAGGGGACCGGGGACAAGACUACUGAGAGAGGGAGCAGAAGGGAAUCGGACGCAGUGGGCGAGAGCAUGACGGAGUAGCGGGAAGUGAGAGAUGAAGGUGUUCGGAGCGUAAAAAUCUGUUAUGAGGGAAGAACAAAUGUGUAAGUAACUAUGCACGGAUUGACGGUAACUAAUCAGAAAGCAACGGCUAACUACGUG